GGGCUGCUAACUGAGGAGAUGGUGAAACCCAGGGAUAUGCUCUGAACUACCUAAAUUUGUACCAGGCCUUUACUGAGACAUGAAAUGGAAGCCUGGUGGACCUACAAGCAUGUCAGUGUGGGACAUCACGGUCUCACUAAUGAAGAUGUUAUCUCUGGAAACUUUCUGCCUUACUCAGCACUAAUUCCAUCCAACUGCCAAACAGUGGAGUGUGCUACACUGAUUCUUUGUAUUAAAAUAGCUCUUCCUUUACUGCUUCUAUCAAGUAGGCAUGAUGAGAGAGAGCUGUAAUGCUAUCUCUGAAAACAGCCAUGAUGUCCUUCACUACCAAGAUGAUUCUCUGAGUAGCUGCAACUGUGCUGGGAAAUGCCACCUACAAUUGGAUGAUAAGAGAUAAUUUUUUUAUUUUAUGAUUUUACAAUAACCUGUGGCCACUUUGGUGGAUAAAAAUAAUGAACAUGAAGACUUUUAUCAGCUGUUUGGCUGGCAUGUGUUUGCAUGUGCCUAAAUACCUUUUCUGUUUGCUUUCCAAGAUCGUGAUACAGGGUGCAACAACAUGCAGUAGCACUGGGGCUGCUGCUGACUCCCAUAUGGGCAUGGUGUCCUUCAUACUUCAGAUAUGUGUCACAGAGUAGAGGAGGGAUAUUUUCCCA